GACGAACGCUGGUGGCGUGCUUAACACAUGCAAGUCGAACGGAAAGGCCCUGCUUUUGUGGGGUGCUCGAGUGGCGAACGGGUGAGUAACACGUGAGUAACCUGCCCUUGACUUUGGGAUAACUUCAGGAAACUGGGGCUAAUACCGGAUAGGAGCUCCUGCUGCAUGGUGGGGGUUGGAAAGUUUCGGCGGUUGGGGAUGGACUCGCGGCUUAUCAGCUUGUUGGUGGGGUAGUGGCUUACCAAGGCUUUGACGGGUAGCCGGCCUGAGAGGGUGACCGGCCACAUUGGGACUGAGGUACGGCCCAGACUCCUACGGGAGGCAGCAGUGGGGAAUAUUGCACAGUGGGCGGGAGCCUGAUGCAGCAACGCCGCGUGCGGGAUGACGGCCUUCGGGUUGUAAACCGCUUUCGCCUGUGACGAAGCGUGAGUGACGGUAAUGGGUAAAGAAGCACCGGCUAACUACGUG
rnacentral:rRNA from 1 species